AGUUGAUAGCUGCAAUGUUAGUCUCACGCCGAAGCUUUAAUCGGGGAAAGCCGCGUAAGAAAAGUAAGGUUUAAAAAUCGCAGUUUUACGUGUUUGGUAUAAUUACACAAUUACAAUUAUCCGGGAGUGACUCUUACGGUGAAGUGGUAGUUUAAACGUGUUUGUGUGUGUGUGUGGGUGGGUGUUUUGCUGCGACAGUCGUCUUCAGAAAGGAUAGUAAAAUCCCGAGGAAAACAUUGUGAUUAAUUUAGGCGUUUUCUUCUGCGUCCGUUCGCAUUUUCAAAAUAGUAAAAUCCCGAGGACAAUAAUAUCUUGUGCGUACGUUUGUAUUUGCAAGUAAGUGAAUAUUGUGGUGAUUUAAAAAAAAAAUACUGUAGAUAUUUUCCCCUGCAGGAAAGUAAUAGAUCGAGGGUAAUAUUUUACCUUAUUCUAAGAUUUUCGUGCGCGACAUCUUGUUGUUACAGGUAAGUGAAUAUUGUGUAGACUUUAUAAAAAAUAGUGAAGAUAUUUUUUCCUGCAGGAAAGUUUGAGAAAAAUAUUCUGGCUUAUUCGAG